rnacentral:rRNA from 1 species
CCAAUAGCGUAUAUUAAAGUUGUUGCAGUUAAAAAGCUCGUAGUUGAAUUUCGGGGUCAGUAGAUUGGUCAUGCCUCCGGUAUGUACUGGUCUUACUGGCUCCUCCUUCCUGAUGAACCGUAAUGCCAUUAAUUUGGUGUUGCGGGGAGACUGGACUGUUACUUUGAAAAAAUUAGAGUGUUUAAAGCAGGCUAACGCUUGAAUACAUUAGCAUGGAAUAAUGAAAUAGGACGUUCGAUCUUAUUUUGUUGGUUUCUAAGAUUGACGUAAUGAUUAAUAGGGAUAGUUGGGGGCAUUAGUAUUCAAUUGUCAGAGGUGAAAUUCUUGGAUUUAUUGAAGACUAACUACUGCGAAAGCAUUUGCCAAGGAUGUUUUCAUUAAUCAAGAACGAAAGUUAGGGGAUCGAAGACGAUCAGAUACCGUCGUAGUCUUAACCAUAAACUAUGCCGACUAGGGAUCGGAUGAUGUUAAUUUUUUAAUGACUCAUUCGGCGCCUUACG